ACACUGAACAUUGAGCCUUGAUGUGUAGGAUAGGUGGGAGGCUUUGAAGUGUGGACGCCAGUCUGCAUGGAGCCGACCUUGAAAUACCACCCUUUAAUGUUUGAUGUUCUAACGUUGACCCGUAAUCCGGGUUGCGGACAGUGUCUGGUGGGUAGUUUGACUGGGGCGGUCUCCUCCUAAAGAGUAACGGAGGAGCACGAAGGUUGGCUAAUCCUGGUCGGACAUCAGGAGGUUAGUGCAAUGGCAUAAGCCAGCUUGACUGCGAGCGUGACGGCGCGAGCAGGUGCGAAAGCAGGUCAUAGUGAUCCGGUGGUUCUGAAUGGAAGGGCCAUCGCUCAACGGAUAAAAGGUACUCCGGGGAUAACAGGCUGAUACCGCCCAAGAGUUCAUAUCGACGGCGGUGUUUGGCACCUCGAUGUCGGCUCAUCACAUCCUGGGGCUGAAGUAGGUCCCAAGGGUAUGGCUGUUCGCCAUUUAAAGUGGUACGCGAGCUGGGUUUAGAACGUCGUGAGACAGUUCGGUCCCUAUCUGCCGUGGGCGCUGGAGAACUGAGGGGGGCUGCUCCUAGUACGAGAGGACCGGAGUGGACGCAUCACUGGUGUUCGGGUUGUCAUGCCAAUGGCACUGCCCGGUAGCUAAAUGCGGAAGAGAUAAGUGCUGAAAGCAUCUAAGCACGAAACUUGCC
rnacentral:rRNA from 1 species